AUAGCUUCUCAGCCAUUUGGUCAAAAUCAAGUGUAGUAUCUGUUCUUAUCAGUUUAAUAUCUGAUAUGUCUGUUAUCUAAUAGUAAAAGAAUAGCUUAAUUGACGAAUAUCACAAGAUGUUAAACCAGG
ensembl:snRNA U2 U2 spliceosomal RNA